GACGAACGCUGGCGGCGUGCCUAAUACAUGCAAGUCGAGCGGACUGAAUGGGAGCUUGCUCUUGUUCGGUCAGCGGCGGACGGGUGAGUAACACGUGGGCAACCUGCCCGCAAGACCGGGAUAACUCCGGGAAACCGGAGCUAAUACCGGAUAACACCGAAGACCGCAUGGUCUUUGGUUGAAAGGCGGCGCAAGCUGCCACUUGCGGAUGGGCCCGCGGCGCAUUAGCUAGUUGGUGAGGUAACGGCUCACCAAGGCGACGAUGCGUAGCCGGCCUGAGAGGGUGACCGGCCACACUGGGACUGAGACACGGCCCAGACUCCUACGGGAGUCAGCAGUAGGGAAUCUUCCGCAAUGGGCGAAAGCCUGACGGAGCGACGCCGCGUGAGCGAAGAAGGCCUUCGGGUCGUAAAGCUCUGUUGUGAGGGACGAAGGAGCGCCGUUUGAAGAAGGCGGCGCGGUGACGGUACCUCACGAGGAAGCCCCGGCUAACUACGUG
rnacentral:rRNA from 1 species